rnacentral:tRNA from 1 species
GUGGCCGUAGUUCAGUUGGUAGAGCACCUGAUUGUGGUUCAGGUUGUCGCCGGUUCGAGCCCGGUCGGCCACCCCA